UGCUAACCCACAGGUACAACACACAGACAUGAUGCUAACCCACAGACAUGAUGCUAACCCACAGGUACAACACACAGACAUGAUGCUAACCCACAGGUACAACACACAGACAUGAUGCUAACCCACAG